GCGCACGGGUGCGUAACGCGUAUGCAACUUACCCUAUACAGGGGGAUAGCCCGAGGAAACUCGGAUUAAUACCCCAUAGUUUAUAGAUUUCGCAUGGGAUUUAUAAUAAAAUUACGAUGGUAUAGGAUGGGCAUGCGUGACAUUAGGUAGUUGGAGAGGUAACGGCUCACCAAGCCGACGAUGUCUAGGGGUCCUGAGAGGGUUACCCCCCACACUGGUACUGAGACACGGACCAGACUCCUACGGGAGGCAGCAGUGAGGAAUAUUGGUCAAUGGAGGCAACUCUGAACCAGCCAUGCCGCGUGCAGGAAGACGGCCCUAUGGGUUGUAAACUGCUUUUAUACAGGGCGAAUUCUGUUACGUGUAACAGGUUGACGGUACUGUAUGAAUAAGCACCGGCUAACUCCGUGCCAGCAGCCGCGGUAAUACGGAGGGUGCAAGCGUUAUCCGGAUUCAUUGGGUUUAAAGGGUGCGUAGGCGGCUAUAUAAGUCAGUGGUGAAAAUAUCGGGCUCAACCCGAUACGUGCCAUUGAUACUGUAUAGCUUGAAUCAAAUCGACGCGGGAGGAAUGCGACAAGUAGCGGUGAAAUGCUUAGAUAUGUCGCAGAACACCGAUAGCGAAGGCAUCUCGCGAGGUUUCGAUUGACGCUGAGGCACGAAAGCGUGGGUAUCAAACAGGAUUAGAUACCCUGGUAGUCCACGCAGUAAACGAUGAUAACUGGGUUUUUGUAGUGUAACUAUGAGAGCCUUUAGCGAAAGCAUUAAGUUAUCCACCUGGGGAGUACGUUCGCAAGUAUGAAACUCAAAGGAAUUGACGGGGGCCCGCACAAGCGGAGGAACAUGUGGUUUAAUUCGAUGAUACGCGA
rnacentral:rRNA from 1 species